rnacentral:tRNA from 2 species
GCCCUAGUAGCUCAGUGGAUAGAGCACGGCUCUCCUAAAGCCGGUGUCACUGGUUCGAUUCCAGUCUGGGGCA